UUGGUCUGAGAGGACGAUCAGCCACACUGGAACUGAGACACGGUCCAGACUCCUACAGGAGGCAGCAGUGGGGAAUUUUGGACAAUGGGCGCAAGCCUGAUCCAGCCAUGCCGCGUGAGUGAAGAAGGCCUUCGGGUUGUAAAGCUCUUUCGGUGGGGACGAAACGGUUCGUGCUAAUACCACGGACUAAUGACGGUACCCGAAGAAGAAGCACCGGCUAACUACGUGCCAGCAGCCGCGGUAAUACGUAGGGUGCAGGCGUUAAUCGGAAUUACUGGGCGUAAAGCGUGCGCAGGCGGUUUGUUAAGACAGAUGUGAAAUCCCCGGGCUUAACCUGGGAACUGCGUUUGUAACUGGCAAGCUAGAGUGUGGCAGAGGGGGGUAGAAUUCCAGGAGUAGCAGUGAAAUGCGUAGAUAUCUGGAGGAAUACCGAUGGCGAAGGCAGCCCCCUGGGUUAACACUGACGCUCAUGCACGAAAGCGUGGGGAGCAAACAGGAUUAGAUACCCUGGUAGUCCACGCCCUAAACUAUGUCAACUGGUUGUCGGGGAAGCAAUUCCUUGGUAACGAAGCUAACGCGUGAAGUUGACCGCCUGGGGAGUACGGCCGCAAGGUUAAAACUCAAAGGAAUUGACGGGGACCCGCACAAGCGGUGUAUUAUGUGGAUUAAUUCGAUGCAACGCGAAAAACCUUACCUACCCUUGACAUGUACGGAACCUCGCAGAGAUGUGAGGGUGCUCGAAAGAGAACCGUAACACAGGUGCUGCAUGGCUGUCGUCAGCUCGUGUCGUGAGAUGUUGGGUUAAGUCCCGCAACGAGCGCAACCCUUGCCAUUAGUUGCUACAUUCAGUUGGGCACUCUAAUGGGACUGCCGGUGACAAACCGGAGGAAGGUGGGGAUGACGUCAAGUCCUCAUGGCCCUUAUGGGUAGGGCUUCACACGUAAUACAAUGGUAGGUACAGAGGGUAGCCAACCCGCGAGGGGGAGCCAAUCCCAGAAAGCCUAUCGUAUUCCGGAUUGUAGUCUGCAACUCGACUACAUGAAGCCGGAAUCGCUAGUAAUCGCGGAUCAGCAUGUCGCGGUGAAUACGUUCCCGGGUCUUGUACACACCGCCCGUCACACCAUGGGAGCGGGUUUCACCAGAAGUAGCUAGUCUAACCGCAAGGAGGACGGUUACCACGGUGAGAUUCGUGACUGGGGUGAAGUCGUAACAAGGUA
rnacentral:rRNA from 1 species